UUUGCGAUAUACGGCAAGCGGCCAAGCGAAAGCGUUAAGUAUUCCACCUGGGGAGUACGCCGGCAACGGUGAAACUCAAAGGAAUUGACGGGGGCCCGCACAAGCGGAGGAACAUGUGGUUUAAUUCGAUGAUACGCGAGGAACCUUACCCGGGCUUAAAUUGCACUCGAAUGAUCCGGAAACGGUUCAGCUAGCAAUAGCGAGUGUGAAGGUGCUGCAUGGUUGUCGUCAGCUCGUGCCGUGAGGUGUCGGCUUAAGUGCCAUAACGAGCGCAACCCUUGUUGUCAGUUACUAACAGGUGAUGCUGAGGACUCUGACAAGACUGCCAUCGUAAGAUGUGAGGAAGGUGGGGAUGACGUCAAAUCAGCACGGCCCUUACGUCCGGGGCUACACACGUGUUACAAUGGGGGGUACAGAGGGCCGCUACCACGCGAGUGGAUGCCAAUCCCUAAAACCCCUCUCAGUUCGGACUGGAGUCUGCAACCCGACUCCACGAAGCUGGAUUCGCUAGUAAUCGCGCAUCAGCCACGGCGCGGUGAAUACGUUCCCGGGCCUUGUACACACCGCCCGUCAAGCCAUGGGAGCCGGGGGUACCUGAAGUGCGUAACCGCGAGGAUCGCCCUAGGGUAAAACUGGUGACUGGGGCUAAGUCGUAACAAGGUAGCCGUACCGGAAGGUGCGGCUG
rnacentral:rRNA from 1 species